GGGUCCGUAGCUCAGCGGUAGAGCAAUUGAUUGCAGGUCAAUCGGUCACAGGUUCGAUUCCUGUCGUGCCCU
rnacentral:tRNA from 1 species